CAGACGCCAGCCACAAUCAUCUUGCUGGGUCUUGAGGAUGCAAAGGAGUCAGCAGAAUCACAACGAGCAAACACAGGUGGGUUCAAAGACGUUGAUUAGUCCGUGAAAGCUGGAGACGGGAGGCGGGCGGCAAGCGCGGCGGGAGACCUGCUGAGGGAGAAGAGCGGCCGGCGCGCGAGUCAGAGAGGAAGCUGAGAGAACGUCAACCUCCCAUCCUGCCCUCAGCCAAUGGGAGGCAGCCAAGCGUCAUGACGUCACGGAAGUCAGCUGAUCUAUCAUGUAUGAGGCUUCGAAGCAAUUACUACAUACCGUUUUAAUGCCUGUGUACUUCAUCCUCCGUCUCGCCGUACUGUAAUGAUAUAAAGUAAGCACAUAAGGUAGAUUUAUGUUGUGACUAAGGCAUGAUAAUACUCUGAUUUUUUUUUUUUUUUUUUUUUACUCAUGCGGUAACCAGGCAGCUGUGCAUGGUGAUUCAGAAACCAAAGUUCGAAGUUUACAGGAGAGAGGAAACCGGAACCGCACCGUGCCAAUGUGUGAGUGGCCGGAAUGGAAGGAAGGUGCAGUGUGAGGAUUGUUCUUCUCUCCUGUAAUUCAACUACUUCAUUUGUGCGACGCGACGAAGGUGACGCUAACGAUGCAGAGGCGACGUGGAUGAGGUGACGCUGACGAUGCAGAGGCGACGUGGCUGAGAGACGCUGGCGAUGCCGAGGACGCGUGGCUGAAGUGACGCUGACGAUGCAGAGGCGACGUGGCAAAGUUGACGCUGACUAAGAAUAGGCGACGUAGCGAAGUUGACGCUGACGAUGCAGAGGCGACGGACGGGACAGAACAUCUAGAAGAGAACUGGUGGACCAUGAGCGAUGAUGAAGGGUAAGGAAGCACGCUGCAUAGCCGGACUGCAUGUCUGACGAUCCUCUCCCAACUAGUGCUGGUACUACUGGCUGCUGCCCACUUCAAGAAUUUAACACGCCACAAUGUGACUAGGUUACACAGAUGGAGGAAGCAAAUGGGAUACAAUGUUACAUUACACGUUUGCUUCAUCCAUCAACCGCUUCCAGGGAUGAACGGUCAUUGAUCUGCUCACGCUGACAUCAAACAGACAAGAGUAAGGGCCUCAUCCUGCUCAUUGGAAACGCACGCCACGGAGACGAGUCUCAUGUGUCAACUCAACUUCCCGAGGGUUCACUGCGCGAGGCAUCAGAGCGAUUUGCAUCAUCCUGUCCUUCCUGUGAUGGUGACAUCAUCGGAGAAGCGAGAGACAUCAACCGAGGAGAGGGAAACACCCCCACCAAGCAGGGAAUAUACCGCCAGGAGCGCCAACGAAGGGAGUGAGACGGAGACUCUGCUCCGGCCCCAGCAGCACCGUCCUCAGUAAGGCAGCUAGCAGAUAAACGAGUCACCCCACGCACGUCACUGGCGAAAAGAGAGGGCUGCACAAAGUGGGCAACACAACCCUGGAGGCUGAAACGAGGCAAUCCACCAAGGCUGCAACAGCAGCGGCGGCAGCAGCGGCAAGGACACACUGCGGAACAGUGUACGAGGGUGUGUGAAUACUGCCAAGGCUGUUUUCACUCCUCUCUGAUUGUCACUUCAGGUUCGCCGACGAAAGACAACAGGAAUUGGUGCAGGCAGUAGUAAGGCAGAGCAGCCAGGAGACCUUGCUUGACUUGCGUAGUGUGGCUAGGCAAUUGACGUGGCCCGGAGUCCCCAAACCUUCCCUGGUUUCUCCCCACGGACCCAUGGCCUUCCGGUCUUCCUGGCCCCCACACCACACCUGCCUUCACUAUGGCGGUGCGCCGCACCACAUGCCGCCCAAUAGUGAGCCGACAAUAGUGUCAGCUAAUGUGAGAGGGUUUCACACAAACAUUGGUGAACUUAAACAUAGUGUUUUAACCAGACACAGGGCAGACAUUGUGUUCGUGUGUGAAACCUUCGUGUGUGAAACCUUCCUGGACGACGAUGUGCCACAGACCUAUGCCCGCGUACGAGGAUACUCUCCCUGGCUGAGGAAAGACCCAAUCCACGCAAGGAGACAUUGGACACUUGGACAUUGAGGGCGCAUUUGACCGGGUGUGGCACGCAUCCCUGGUCAACAAACUCUGUGCUGCAGGCGUAAUGAAUGACACGCACCUGAGGGUGAGACUGUUGGAGGCCGUGAGUGUGAGGUGCAGGCACCUGAGGGUGAGACUGUUGGAGGCCGUGAGUGUGAGGUGCAGCCCGCCAAAGCAGAUGUCCCCUCAGGGGAGCUACCUCGGCCCCCCUGCUGUGGAACCUGUAUAUAAAUAACCUGCAGCACCACCUCCCCAGCGCCAGGGCUUACGCGAAUGAUUUCACGCUGACCCACAGCUUCGCCACGAGAGAGGAAGCCACUGCUGUGUUCCGGCUCAGCAACACCCUGAACCGCAUCACAGCUUGGGGUAGAGCGUGGCAGGUGAGAUUAGCGCCGCAUAAAACCAAGAUGCUCGCCGUCUCCAGGUCGAGGCCAGCUCGGUGUCUCGACUUCACCGGAGAGAUGGUAACGCCGCAGACGAAGUGGAGGACCUUCAGGAUCCACAUCAAGCAGCUUGCCAGAGAGGCCUCGGGAAAGCCGGCCCCUCUGAGGAGGACAUCGUGGCUUCUGGACGGCAAGGGUCUAGAGGUGCUUUAUAAAGCACAAGUUAGAUCCUCGUUGGAGUUCGCGAGCCUGGCGUGGGGUGGUGUGGCCCGCAAACACCUCGCCCUCCUGCACAAUGUAGAGGAGAGGGCGGCGCGGCUCAUGAGAUCAUGACAACCACGCCGGCCACGAGUCACGCCUCCACAUCCUUCAAUAUCGGCGGGACGUGGCGAGAAUCACCGUCAUUUAUAAGGUGAAUGUGUGUCGCGUGAGUCAUCUACAGGAGCUGCGACAUUCACCCCUCCAGGCUCAAGUGAACACCCGAGCGGUCACCCGCGCCCCCGAGGAACUCCUGCAACCCCGUUGUAGAAUAUGGCACCACAAACGUUAGUUGGUGGAACAAGAUAUUUUAGCCACAUAGUUUGGGUUUUUAGAUAGUUAUUGUAAUCCAGUAUAAAAAAAGAGAGGGAGAGGACGGUAGGAAGCAUAGAAGUGUGCUCCGUGUUUAACGAUUAUGUUCUUAUGUUCUGUGACACCUUAUGUUCU